rnacentral:misc_RNA from 1 species
UGGUUCUCGCAUNGAUGAAGAACGCAGCGAAACGCGAUAGGUAAUGUGAAUUGCAGAAUCUAGUGAAUCAUCGAAUCUUUGAACGCACAUUGCGCCUUUUGGUAUUCCGAGAGGCACGUCUGUUUGAGCGUGAGUGAAAAACAUCAAGCCAUCGGUUUGUAGUUGGGCGUGUUCCUCGGACACGCCUUGAUGCGCACAAGGCGCGGUUGGCACCGCUAGCAAAGUAGUAAUGCUAUUCUCUGCGAACGGACCAUCGGCCCUUAAAAUUUCUCAAGUGUUUUCACCUCAGAUCAGACGAGGAUACCCGCUGA